GCAUCGCCCUCCCCCAAAUGAACGCAAUUCCCACCUUGGCCACGCUCUCUUCCUCAUCAUGCAGGUGCAGAUACAGCAGGACCAGGCUCCUGCACACCUCCUCCUGCAUGUUCCUCUUUUCUUGGUCCUCCACGUAGUUGAGCGUUUCGAGGAAGAGGUCGAUGGAGAGCUGCCGCACCGUGCUGGACUCCUGUGGAGGAGGAAGGAAGGACGUCGGUGUCAGCAGCUCCAGGGCCAUGGCAAGCAGGGCCAGCACCGCCAAUGAAGUGGGGGCAGAAUCUCUGAGCUGAGAGGCUGCAGGCAGAUCUUGAGGAUGCCCCCAGAACUGCUCCAAAGUGCACAAGCUCUGCCCUGCAGAAAGUCUGCCCAGGGCCACGCAGCCCCUGGACCUGGUGAGCGGCCAGGAAGUCCCCUGGUGUGCUGUCACAGGGCAGCAGGCAUGGGCACGCUGAGGUGGUAGCCACAUCCCUAAUGUGCUGGGCUCCCUACUAUCCUUACAUCAUUAAUGAGCGCUGGGAGCUUGCCGGCCAGAGCCAGAGCCAUGAGGCUGAGCUUGACCCCCUCCAGGAGCUGCAGCAGGUUGCUGAGUAUUGGUAAGGCCACGGCACGGAUGUCGCUGUCUGCGUCCUGCAGCAGCUCCAUGACGCACGGCAGGAAGAUGAUCAUUGGCCUUGCCUGUGGGAAGAACACCCCUUCCUUUAGGUAGAGCAGCAAGCACAGUGAGGGCAAAACCACUCCAGUACCAGCCCCGUGGACAGCAGGCAGCAAUGGGAUGGGCAGCGAGCACCAGCUCCUCACUGCAUGGAGAGGUGCUGAGCUGCAGAUGGCUCUGCUACAGCCCCAUGGCAGGCCUAGCCCGACCUGUGGCACCUGUGGCAUUCCUGGCCGCCCCUGCUCACCGUGUCCUGCCUCUGGCUCAGCUUCAGAAUGCCCCUGAGCACCAGCUGCUGCAUGCCCACGCUCUGGCUCUGCAGAUAGGUGGUAAAGAGUAUCAUGAUGCGGUGCAGCUCUUUGUUGAGGUCCACGCAGUCCAGCAUCUGCAACACACGCGGCUCUUAGUGCUGGAUCCAGCAACCCGCUUGGGGAAAGACAGCAAGGCAUGGCCAAGCCUGGUCCCGAGGGAGGCAGCAGGACUCGUGCCACCAGUGGCGUUGCAGCCUCAAGUUCACCGCUUCUGCAGCUGGUGCUCACCUCAAUGAGGAAGACCAUGGCCACCGUCUCCCAGGAGUAGAAGAAGCUGGUGCUGAGCAGCUCAACCAGGUGGUGGAAGAUGGGGUCACGCAGAGCACCAGGCAGCUCUCUCAUCACCCUGGCAGGGAUAAGAAGGCACCGUGAGCCCCGAGCCAGGGGGACGCAGCUCUGGCUGUGCAGCCCUCUUGCCAACGCCGCAGGGGCCACAGGCUGUGGUGGUGCUGUGGCAGCACUUUCUCAGAGAACUGGGGACCCCCUGCCACCCUGAGGGAGGAGUUCUCACCUGGCCACCACCUGUACACCCUGGAGGUGGGUCACAGUGCUGAGAAGCGCGUCCCAGCCGCCCUGCUCCUGGAUGGCCUCCAUCUGCCUCUGGAGGCCCACGCUGCAGAGCAGCACCUUCAAGGACUGCACCACAGCCCUGCAGGUGGAGAAGGGUGUAAGUCACAUCGGGAGCCCCAGCACCGGGUGCCUGGGUGCAGCGGGAGGACUGGGAUGUGGCACCUGAUGGGAGUGAGCUGGUGCUGCUGGUGCGCCUCGAAGAAGAUUUCCACCUCCUGCUGUGUCAGGUUCACGGUGAAGGACACUUGCAGGAGGAGGGCCAGGAAGAGCUGGGGGAAGAUGGCUUCGGCCUCCUUCAGGACCAGAGGUAGCUGGAGUAUCUCCGGAAUCCACUUUUCUCAUCAGAAAUCUAUGCAAAAUGUGUGCUUGCCCUCUGACUGCAUGAUACCUGCUGUGACCGUGGCUGAGGAGGAAGGGCAGCUGCCUCAGGUGCUUCGUUAAUUCUGCUUUUGUGCACAGCUUUGUUCCGUGGUCCCGAUCUACCCAUCGUGACUUGCAGAUUUAUGCUAAAUUACAUGCAGCUUUACGGGGUAACUGCCUUCCAGAGCGUGUCAGCUGAAGAAUUGAAGGUGAAAGAUGAGAGCAUUAGCGCACAUCACUUUCUGUUUGCAGUGGUCUUCAAACAGAUGUUUGAAUAGAAAUGUUGGAUUGGGAUCUGUAUGGGAACCGUUGAAUCACGGCCUGAACCUCUGAUUGACCACCUGAGGCAAGCGCUGAGUCAGCCACAGGAGCACAGGGAUCCAAUGCUGUUUUAUGUCUGCAUAUUCUACUGGAUGAAAUGGAUAUGACAUGAAAUGAAUAUGAGAGAAGGAAUACCUGAAGAAAGGAGCUAGCAAAGAAUGGAGCACCAGGAUUUCUUAGCUGUGUGAAGUUUGACUGUGAACUCGUGCUGUACUUUCUGUGAGCAGUAACUCCUGAAUGUGAACGCAUAAGAAGUGCCUGCAGAGCACUGCAGCCCUGCUUCAAUGAUGGGAUGGAGAACCUGUGAUCUGGAGGAGCUCAGGUACGAGGAGCAGCGUGUUACCAGGAGCACAGUUCAGAAAUGUGUGAUCUGAAAGCACGGAUGAGGCUACUGUCCCUUUGUUUUUGAGCACAAACCCUCUGUUGAGAGUGAAAACAACUUUGUCUUUUCCUGCAUAUUGUAGUCACCUGAAUUAAAUGCACUCCAGGUGAACAUAUCUGACAUUUUUUUCUGUUUUUUUUGUCUGACAAGAGCUGAUUGCAGAAUUCCUGAGACAGUGGGGAAAAAAGAUUUAUAGAACUGUAGAAAAACUGUUUCUCCUUGUCACAGGUCCUCUCCUUAAAGUAGUUCAACUUAAAUUGUGUUUCUAAGAAACAGCAAGAAAUUGGAUUUAUCUGAAUGAGAGUUAAAACAGACAUGGCAGUAUUUGUACUGGGUUGCAUUUUUUGCUUCUCUGUUUUUUUUCCCUACUCCCAGACAUGCCUUUUCCUUUCCAGUGUAUCCAUAUCUGGAGGUUCUGACUAGACGGAGACUUGUGAGGGUUAAAAUCUCGAGGAACAGCUGGGAGAUGCUUAGCAAGCUGAAGUGACUUAGAGUUAAGGGUCUUCUGAGUCUACUAAGAAGCCCCACCCUGUCUUGGUCUGCCUUCUCAGUGACACUGGUAUCACAUUACAGUUCAGGGACUAAAGGGUAGGAACCUGGGUAUUUCCUGUGUUCAGCCCUAUUAACAUAGAAACAACAUUCUGGAAUAUCGUGUGGCAAACCUGCAAGGUUCUGGUGGGACAGUAUUGCCAUGCUAAUCCCCUGCUUGGGGUUACAGGAAAGAAGUACUUUUUUCUCCAUGCUUACAUCUAUGCAGCCCCUGAAAAUAGUCAGCAGAAUUUGGGUGCUUCCAUUAUCAACUAAUUGAAUUCGUUUGGCUCAAUCAAGCAUUCAGCUAUUCUGCAGCCAGUGGUGUCAGAUGGGACAUGUAUUUGGCUGAGUUUCACAAAAAUUGUUGGCUCCACAUUGGUUGUACAAUGGGGAACACAAAACCACUUCAGGAUUCAGCUUUCACAGCUUCUCAGCAUGUUAUCUGAACUGUUGUCUGUAUGCAGUGCUGCAAUUGCUGCUAGGGUUUAAGCACAUCUCCUGGUCUUGAUCUCCUCUUUGUCACCUUCUCACCUUUUCAGCAAGUCUGGAGGAAGCUGAGCGCAGCAACCUUUUGUGUUUUCCGCUCUAAAUGUCAUUCAUCUUCAAGAUUUUCCUGUCAGCCACGUUAAAUAGCAUUCCACCAUGCUCACUCACUUGCUAUACAUUCCAGAUUUGCAUCCUGAAUGUGGAAAUUAUUUAUGAAUUUCUCGAAUACUUUAUCUUAUGUUAGAUUAAUUGUAGAUUAUGUCUCCUUCUGCUGUCUUUGUGUUCUCAGGCUCAGCUUUCAAAGAUCUGAAUGGCUAUGUGAUAAAGUGAUGAGAGGCAAUAAAACUAUAGGGCAAAACCACAUAAUUAGAGGAAGGAAGACACUAUGGACUGCAAUGCAGCCUUUGAAACUUCCUCGUCAUCUACUGCUACUGGUUAUAACUUUUGCACAUGGAAGCAUACAGAGGUAGAGUUUGGGGGCCUUAUCCAGAGUACUGUGUUUACUGCCAGUUGCACUGCACUGAUAUCAUUUGUUUGUACUUUGAACCUUACCAGGACCUCCCCAGAAAUUCUCUUGUAGAUGUGGAGUCAUAGGCCUCAAAGUAAAGCUGUACCUCUGAGCUUCUGUGAGGCUGAAGUCAAGGAAUUAUCCUGUAAAUCCAGAGUGAGUCACACCUGGAUAACCCAUUGUGUGAUACAGAUCCCUGCUGGGUUGCAGUUUGCAGCCACAGGGAAGUAUUGACACUUACUCAGCUUAAAGACCAAAUAUAAAUUAAAUCAAAACAGAAGUCCCAGCAGCUUUGGGAGGAAGACUUGGCCUUUAGACUCCUUUUGCUCAUCUCUAAAGGUAAGUUUUCCUCUCAGAUGACCUAAUGGCAGUUUCUUCUGAAGAUGCUGUUUAGCUCUCCAUGUUAAUCCAUGCGUUGAAACAAAUGCUGCUGCUGGUGUGUGGAGCAGCUUCUCUCUUGCAGGCACUCUAUGCUGGCAGGGCUGCAGCUGUCUGACACCAAACUUGUACAUGGCUAGAGAUCAGCUUUCUAAGAACCCGGAGGGCCCUCCUUUCUGCUGGCUUCCCCCCAUAUCUCCAUGCUGCGUGAGACUGCUGUGAGCUUUUAUACAGGCAGUAUAUUUACAGUAGCACUGGAUGUGAAGUGCAAAAUGCUCUUUAAAGUCUGCUUAAAAUCUCUCCCCUGUCAGUUCCCAAAUUUAAUAAUGAUGGAGUUUGGGAAAGGUGUACGAAGUGCUAUCUGGUGUGUAUGUGCAAGAGAUGAAGUGCAUGUGUAGUUAUAAAGCACUCUUCAGAAUCUGGUCUGCAGUCUAUUAACAUGCUGAACAUGCCUUUUUUAUGGUGGUGAUUUACAGUCCAGCACAACUAUGUGAAAUCGCUUCAUUAUAUUUGAAUAAUGAAAAGAGUGCCAUCAAAAAGGCAUGUCUCCAGGGAUCUCUCUGAGGCAACACUUUAAACAAAUGACUUUUUAGAUAAAUUUAUUAUGAAGUGUGAUGAAAGCCAUUUUUCUUAGCAGUCACAUCUUGUGAAAUCAAUGAGCUUUGUUGUGCUGUAGUUUUUUUUUAAUCUCUUACAUAAGUAAAGACUAUGUCUGUAUAAAUGGUGGUUGAUGUUCUGCAAUCACCAUGGAAAGGGAAUGUAAUGUUUUAGUGUUUAAAUUCUGGUUUGUUAUGGCUGCUAAAUAUUUGUGGACUGAACUUAACAGCCUAGUCUUGGAGUUGGAAAUAUCAGUUGCCCUAAAAAUUGUUUUUACAGGCAGCUAUGAAUGUUCAUCCAGAUUUGUUAAGCUAAAAUGUGUUUUUAUAAAAUUACAGCAUUUGCCUAAGACCUCUUCUGCCAAAGGAGUACCCAGCUUUCCUGGUGGCAGUCUGUUAAACUGUGCUACAAGAAGUUGGCCAAACCACUCAGAAAUAACUAUCGUUGGGGCUUUCAUAGUAUUAUAAAAACACUUCUUAUUGCUUUGUCAUGUGAGCAUCCUUGAACGUCUCAUUAAAAAUCUAACAUUUGAUUAUUAAUGAGACAGUUUUUUUUUCUAAAAUCCGCACUGACUUUCAAAGACGCAAUGAAAACACGUAUUGUGUCAUCAGGACAAUGAUAUUUUGAAUGAAGAUAAAUUAUGUUCUUUCUUCUGGAACUUCAUUGAAGUUGAACCUGAUGAAGUUCAACAAGAACAAGUGUAGAGUCCUGCACCUGGGGAAUAAUAACUGCAUGCAUCAGUGCAGUCAGGGGCUGAGCUGCUGCAGAGGAGCUGUGCAGAGAAGGACCUGGGGGUCCUGGUGGGCAGCAGGCUGGCCAUGAGCCAGCGGUGUGCCUUGGUGGCCAAGAAAGCCAAUGGUAAUUAAAAGCAUUGCAAAGAGCAUAGCUGGCAUGUUGAGGGAGGUGAUCCUCCCCUCUGUUGUGCCCUGGUGAGGCCACAGCUGGAGUGCUGUGUCCAGUACUGGGCUCCCAAGUUUAAAAACAAACAAACAAAACAAAAAAACAACACAGGGAUCUCCUAGAGAGAGUCCAAUGGAGGGCCAAAAAGGUGAUUAAGGGCUUGGAGCAUCUUCUGUAUGAGGAAAGACUGAGAGAGCUGGGGCUGUUCAGUCUGGAGAAAAGAAGGCUGAGAGGGGAUCUCAUCACUGUUUAUGAAUAUCUCAAGUGCAAGAGUCAAGUCAAUGUGGGCAGACUCUUUUCAAUGGCAAGCAACAAUAGAACAAGGGGCAGUGGCCAGAAACUGAAAUAUGGGAAGUUCCAUACUAAUGCAGAGAAGAACUUCUUUACUGUCAGAAUGACAGAGCACUGGCACAGGCUGCCUGGAGAGGUUGUGGAGUCUCCUUCUAUGAAGAUAUUCAAGACCCAUCUGGACACCGACUUGUGUGACCAAUUGUAGGGAACUGCUUUAGCAGGGGGUUCGACCCAGUGAUAUCUUGAGGUUCCUUCCAACCCCUGCGAUUCUGUGAUUCUGAUUGUGUGGCUCUGUGAUUUAAGGCUGUGUAUUUUCCCUCUUCUUUUUUUUACAGUUAUUUGAAAAUGUUUUUGUCCUGAAGUCACCCCUCUUUGACUCUCCUUAAAUGGAGUACCAAUCUGAGGUUGGACAUGCUUUAAUAGAGGCUGCUUCUUUCUUCUUCUUCUUUUUUUUUUUUUUUAAGAGGUGGAAAUCAUGGAAUAAUAGAAUGGCUUGGGUUGGAAGGGACCUUAAAGCCCAUGCAGUUCCAACCCCUGCCCUGGGCUGGCUGCCCCCCACGAGGUUAGGCUGCCCAGAGCCCCUCCAGCCUGGUCUUGCACAUCUCCAGGGAUGGGUACCCAUAGUUUCUCUGGGCAGCCUUGGCUUUCCUGCUCCCAUCCAUGCACAUCCAGACAGCAUCUCUCUAUUCUUUGCAGGCCACUCAAUCCUGCUUCCACUGCCUGCACAUCUUCUUUCCCUCACUCUGACCAGCAGGGACUUGCCCAGCCAUGCCAGUUUCCUGCCUCCUCUACUUGAUUUCUUAUUCUGGAGGUUGGAGAGCUCUUGUACUCUCAGAAAGGUGUCCUUAAAGAGCUGCCAUCUCUGCUCUGUUCCUUUGUCCCUAAGAACAACUUCCCAGGGGAUCUCACCCAACAACUCCCUAAGCAGCCUGAAGUUUGUUCUCUUGAAGUUCAGGGUCCUGACUGCUCUUUGCCAGGUGCAUAUUCCUUGAGAUCACAAAUGAGACUAGGGCAUGGUAGCUGUAGCCCAACCUGCCUCUAAUCUUAAUCUCUUUAUCUGUCUCCUCUGAAUCUAUGAGCUCCCUGGUCCAGUAACCCUUCUCCUCUGUCAGUUAGACUAAUACCUGGGCCAGGAAGUUACUGUCAAUGGGCUCUGGGAGUCUCCUGGGCUGCUUGCAGCUCACUGUGUUGCUUUCCCACAAGAUGUCUGGAUGAUUGAAAUCCCCAUCAGGAUUAGAGUCUGUGACACUUCUUGCAGCUGCAGCAAGAAUGUCUCACCCACAGGCUUUCUUUGGUCAGACAGCCUGUAGUGGACCCCAACCACCAGAUGUCCUUUAUUGGUCCAGUCCCUAAUUUUGACCCACAGGCUCUCAGUCUGAUUGUGGGUGAUUCUCAGAGGCAGCUCUUCACAGUCUAUCUAUUUCUUAACAUAGAGGGCAACUCCAGCACAGGAACAGGUUGCCCAAGGAGGCUGUGGAUGCCCCAUCCCUGGAGGCAUUCAAGGCCAGGCUGGAUAUGGCUCUGGGCAGUCUAGUCUGGUGGUUGGUGACCCUGCACAUAGCAGGGGGUUGGAACUCGAUGAUCAUUGUGGUCCUUUUCAACCCAGGCCAUCCUAUGAUUCUAUGAUUUCAUGAUUCUAAAAAUCUCUUAGCCCUCAAUCAUAGUGUUCCAGUUGUGUGACUUGUCCCACCGUGUUUCUAUGAUAGCAAUUAGGUCAUGGCUUUUUAAUAAUGACCUCAUAGGAAAAAAAUCACUCUCUUUGUCUUGAGCUGAAAAAUAUAGGCGUGUCCAUCUGUUAAGUAAGUUUUUGUGCUCAAAUGUAGAUACGGUUCUCUGAAAUGCCUUAACAACUAUUAUGAUAGUGAAAGCAUCUUGAAUGCAACUCGAGAGACCUGGAUUCUUUUCCUGAAAUAACCACUGAUUCUCAAGUCACUUAAUUUCCAUAUCUUGAAAACAGAGUAGUGUGUUUGCUGUCUUUCAUAAAGAGCAUUCAAAUCUACAUAUGCAAAGUGAUAUGUAAACAUUUGUAAUAAUAUAGUGGGUGAUAUUCUCCAGGGAUAUAAAAAGGGGUGACCAGAAGAUGCUGGGAGAAUGAACUGACUUCUGCAGCUGUAGCUGAGCUCUUUGUCUUACUGGUGGUAACUUGCAACUCAGAAUUUGGUGGUGGGGAGACAGAGUGCACAGUCAAUCAGAGUGCAGUCAAUUAGAGCAUGGUCAAUUAGAGCACGGUCUGAUUGACUGAACCUUAAGGAAACAUACUCUGUUUGUGUUUGCAUUAACUUAAAGGAUUCUCAAUCAUGAGGUAUGUGUAAACAUAGUGGGGUUUCUAUUUUCAAACUCCAAUUUUUCCUUUUCUGUUGCCUUCCAACUGCCACCUGAAAGGAAUCCCCAGUGGGAUUGCUUCUAAAAGUCCAAGCAUAUCUACAGCAGAAGAAGAACAUUUUGUCUUUACAUACUCACGCUGCAGAAAGGAAACAUUAUGUGGCACCUCAGCAUCAGACAUUUGCUAAGACACGCAGUGGUGGCCCUGUUUAAUUCCUCCUAGUGGACAAACUGCUCCAGCAGUCACCAGUCUAUGAGCUGACUCCUGGCUCCCUGAGGCAGUUAGUGCAGCACUGAGAUGCUGCUUUUAUUUCUGAGCCGUUUGGUGAGUGCAUUUUAAUCAGAGAUGUGGAAGAAGUGUUGGGGAGGAGGUGCAGCCUUCUCCUUCUCAGGUAAUUAAUCAUCUGAUUUUUGGUGUCUCAGUAAUUACUGUUGGCAAAAAAAAAAAAGUCAUUUGAAUGGUGGCAAUAUACUGCAAGCAAACAUAACUUGGAAUGACUUUGUUUCAGCCACUUGUCUGUUCUUCAUGAGCAUUUUUACAGUCAGCUGAGGACUUGUAACCAAGCCUUUGGCCACAACUGUCAGCUCCAGAUUGCCUCUAGCAGGCAAGGGUGUGAUUGCAAGAUGCUACCAUUGCUUCUGGCCGCUGGCCUUAUUGUGCUGAGUAUGCACGAAGGGACGUGCACAGCCCUGACUGCUGUUGGAUCUGAUUUCCACUGAAUUCUGCUGACCCUUAAACUGCUGCUGUGAUGGACUGAAGUAGCCUGAAGUGAACCUUUUCUCCCCAGCCAAAGCAAAAUGUUUAUCAGCAGCUCCUCUAAAGCCACUGCUGUUGCCCAAGUCUCUCCUUCUGCUGUUUGCUGCCUGCAGGAAGGCACGGGGAGAUAGCGAGCAGCCUGGGUGAACCUGCUCUGCUCCGACAGCCACUUUAGUUACCUGCCCCGAACCUCUGCUGCCAGCAGAGGCAGCUGUUGGUUCUGAGGCCAUCUGGAGGCACAAGGCAGGAUUUGAGGGAACUGCCUUUCUCUGGAGCCUCUUGUAGCACUCGUAGGCUUUGUUUAGUUAUUUAUCCAUCCUUCCAAUGCCCGUGCCAGUUUAGAACUUCCCAACGCUUUAACUACCAGAGUGUUCCUGAAUAGGUCAGAGUCAUUAUCCAUUCCUAUGAGGCAUACUGAACAGAAGAUUUGUUUUAAAAACAGAUGAAACAAUCAGCUUCUGAGCUAAUGUGGGGGUUUCUUGUUUACAUGGGCUUCAGCUCAGGCUGGACAAGGAGCUGGAAGAGUUUCUGCUGUGGGUACUCCUGUAUGUUCUUGCAGAGAUUCUUCGAACGCCGGUGGUUCUGUUAGCAUCCCUACGAGUGAAGCUGUGGUUGAGCAGAACCAAUUUAAAGUUGUUACAUUUGUCUGAGCUAAUCUUAUUUAUUUCAGGGCUUUUGCUCAGCUCUGCCCUUCUUGUUCCCGAGCACCUCUGCAUGAGUCGCCGCGGGCACAGCUGUGUGCCUGGGGACUCAGUUCUAUGGGAGCUCCCAGCUCAGGUUUGGGUACUGAGUGUUCCCCAGUCAGUAGGAGGAAAAAACUCAGAAAUCCUCAGAGUGACUGCUGCCAUUACUUUGCAGAGAGCCUGUGAGAGCUCAUUUAUAAGGUAUCUGACAGCAGUCAGCACCAGAUCGUUCAUAAUGUCUUUGGAGUGUUUGAGGCCAGAUAAAUCCGACUGAUUUUCUGCCUUUGUGAAUAGCUGUGAGCAUAAAUUAAUCUCUAAUUUGAGGGGAAUGCUGCGUGUUAGAUGGAAAUGCAGGACAGAGCUGGAGGGGGCAACCUGGGCCUUUUUAUUCUAUCUAAACAUUAAAAUGUUCCAUCUGUACUUCUACUGCGAUCUGCAGUGGAAGUCAAAGGAAGGAUUUUGUCUCUUUUCUUUUAUAUUUAGUAUUUCUCUCAACGCUUCAGAAUGUUCUCUCUGUUUUUUUGGACAAGGGGUGCAUGUUUUUUCCCCACUUCUUAUUCAUUUAUGAAUUUAAAGGUCAACGUUGGGAUUUUUCGUACUCAAAAGUGUAUUUUCUGUUUAUUAUACAUAUUUUAGGUGAGUGGUAUUUUAUUUACUUUAUUGUUUGUUGUAGAUGUUCAGCUAUAUCUGUGCUAAGAAAUAGGUCCAUUACUCGACGCAGGUGACUAGCUCUGGGUGCCCCCACCUGGUUGGAGCUGCCUAUUUCAUUGCAGUGUUGCUAAAUCCUCUAAAUCCUUUCUGUAUGGUUUUCAUUCUGAAAAAGAUUAACCACAAAACAGCAAUGCAGGCAGUUCAGAUUCCUGCAGAGCACUGCUUAUGCAUUUGGUGUGUAUUUCAACUGGAGUAUGUCAGCAGCUGACAACAGGAAAGAAUCGUAGAAUGGCCUGGGUUGAAAAGGACCACAAUGACCGUCAGUUCCAACCCCCUGCUAUGUACAGGGUCGCCAACCAGCAGACCAGGCUGCCCAGAGCCACAUCCAGCCUGGCCUUGAAUGCCUCCAGGGAUGGGGCAUCCACAGCCUCCUUGGGCAACCUGUUCCAGUGCUUGGACUGAAGGUACCGAGCUCUUCAGAACUGACUGACCCUGGCAGUUCUGAUUUGAGGUGUAAGGCACAGAUCUGAGCCAUACGUGUUCUUUGCCACUAGGGUGGUGAUGCAGACAAGUUAAUGUUUGGAAGGCAUACAGCUAUGCUGGGCUAAUGUUUGAGCCUACAGUAAAGUGCCUACCACAAACCCAUCCUUCUUGAUAUAAAAAUGUCAAAUAUUCUUUUACUACUGUUAAAGGACAUAAAGGAAAAGUUGCAGAAAGAAAUUCCCUUCUGAGAUUUUCAGUUGUAAAAACUGUUGUUCUCAUACAAACUUCAAAGCAAAGCUAGAAGAACACAUGAAGAGGCUGUUAGUGCAGCUGUGGUUUCUAAAAUAUGUGGCUCAUGCAAGUCCUGAAAGGUACAACUGAUCCUUUACCAGCAUGAAAGCUGGAGAGCAGCAGAGCCCCAACAAGCGCAGGAGGCUGUUUGGAUGUCACACAGUUCAGUGGUCUCACAGUCCCAAUGUCAGACACACAGAGCCAGGCCCAGGCUGAGGUUGUCCCAGAAGAUCAUUGCUGUAGAUUACUGAAGUACAAAGGCUUGUAAACAACUACAGUGUCCACACGUGGGGCUGAAAAUGAGCUGUUAAGAGCUGAAAAUAUCAAUGUCUGAAAUUGGAAUUACUGACUCCUACUGGUUAGAGUUCCACCUCUCCCACUUAGAGAAUUGUUGGAUGCUCGUAAUGUAGCUUUUCACACUUUUUACUCUGUCCCUUAAAUUAUGUCUGUUUGAAUGUGAUUUCUUGAAGCCUUCAUUAUUUGUAAGUGAUUAUGUUAGGCUUUGAUAUAUUUUAGGUAUGAGAGUGUUUGAAUUAUCUGCUUUUCUCCUUUUAGCUGUCAUUUCAGGUAAAUAACAAUUCUGCAAGUUUGUGGUUUUGACUUCUCACCUCAGCGGUUUGGAUCAGUGAUUGAGGACGUGGACCCAGGAAUUUGAAGAUGAGCUUCACUUUUAAUGUCUUCAUUUGGACACCAAGCAAAUCCCUAACUAAUUGAGGCUGAAAUGCCUUAGGAUGAUAUUUGCUGUUCUUUAUUUAAAUUCAGAGGGUUUAUCACCACACAGACAUUUCAGUUGCUUAUUCUAGGAAACUCAUGGAAACGUGCUUUGUUAAAUAAUGUAUUUUCUAUUUUUUUUUCCCUUCCUUGUGUUACAAAAUGAAUGUAAAAGCUUUAAAACCCAGCAUUCACCACUCUGCAGUAGAUCUAAUAGAGUGGCAUUAUAUGAAGAGAUGCCAUGGUAACUGAAGUUGCCAAGACAGUCAGUGUCAAGCUUUUUAAUGGUGACUGCUAUACUAUAUUUGGCUUUGAUUACCACAAUCUGAAUAGCAAAUGGAAAGUGUUCACCGGUCUCAUUUGCUACCACCUACAGUCCAGAAGUAACGAGAUGACAGAAUUCAGUGUUGCACUGACUGCCAACCACUGGCCAUCAGGAUUGUUCUUUGCAGCACUCCCCUCUCCCACUGGAUCUCAUGGCAUCCUUAUCACAGCCUUACCAUUUGUGCUAUCCAGUUGGUGAUAUGCCACUUGUCUUAAUGAAAUUUGGCACCUGAAGCCAGUAGAGGAGUCUGCACUUUGUGAGCUGGCAAAAAAUCAGCAAAGUCAUUUCCACAGGAAACUGUUCUUUAAAUCUGUAAGUGGUGCGAAAGCAGAAUAAAGCAGAAACGUACACUGUUUUUUUCUCAUAAAUGGGUUAAGUGUACCUUACCUCCCUUGCUGUAAAGCUUUGUAGAUCCUGUUAUCAUCAGUUUUCACAAAAAUGAUACUUUCUUCUGUCUCCAUAAUUUUGGUUUAUUUUUUAAAUGCCAGAAUAGAAAGCGAGGUCCCAUCGCCAAGGUGCCAUUUUAUCAUUUUGCUCACUCUAAUACAAAUGAUUUACCUAUACACUGAAGUAUUACCGUAAGUUAUAAUGAAGCUCCUUGCUAAAACGUGCAGCAGCAGUUCCAAAACAUUACUCAUUACUUUUAAAUCCAGAACUAAACUUUCUGCCAGUAGUAAUAGCCUCAUGCUGUUAAAAAGGACUGUUUUUAACAUGCUGUUAAAGGACUGCUUUACUUAAAAGGAAGCAGUCACAGAGCAGACUAUGAAAUGCUUCUUGAAUGAGAUGAACAGUCCUGGCCAUAACAGUUGUAGACUAUUGGGAAACUCAAUAGGCAGCUAACAGGAACAACUUGGGUAGGAAGAGCUUGAGGGUGAGUGCAGCUCAGCUCAGAACAGCCUUCUGUCAUUCUCUCUUGCAGUUAGGCAGACAUAAACAAAGAAGCAUGAUGGGAAGAAACUGAUAUCUUGGAGGGAAGGGAAAGACUAAAUAAAGAGUAGGGAAAAAGCUUUAACAAUGUGAUUCUUUAGAUAGAAAGCUAGUCUCAAAAGACCUAUCACUUGACACAUGAAAAAUUGAUUGGAGAAAGCAGUAGCAAAUAGUUUUCCAGGAAGAAUGUUGUAUUGGCAGGAGGAUGGAUAAGAUGAUCACAGUUCAUUUACUUAAGUUUUAUCCAACAGCAUUAUGAAGUAGGAGAAUAUAUGGGUGAUUUCAUGUGGUUUUGGAUCGUGUGGAUUUUGAACAAACCAGUCAGGAGGUAGCAGCAUUGCUUUGGAGAUCAGCAAAUGAAGAAAAACAGCUUCAGUUGAAAGGGAACAGAUUUGACAGGAAAAAUUCAUAUUUGUUAAAGAUUGGUUUAGAAUACUGACAUCAAAUCUCACUGUCAGUGGAUAUUUUCUUCAACGGCUGUAUCUCUACUGCUAAAAUGCAACACAACAAAUUCAGAUUCAUUCCUAAGAUCAAUUUGUUCAAGUCAACAAAAUUUUUGUCACACCACUGUUAAACCUGAGAUGCCUCAAAUAAAGAGUAUAACUUGGCUUGAAAACAGCACGAAGGAUGAAUGUAAUCCAUGCCAUCGAGAAAAUAGCCAAUGUUAAACUAGAUGAGUUUGACACCAAUUCAAAAGGCAUCUUCUUGUGUCCUACAUUCUAGUAAUUUUGUUGACUAAAUUAUGUGUUUAAAUUUAUACGGCAAACUCAGGCCAGCAUUUGGGUUCCUGUGAUUAUUCAUUUGUAAGGCUGUGAAUGCUUAUUAAUGGCUCCUGGCUUUAGAAUGAGCGUUUAUGCUUCCAAAGCACUGCACAUGACUAAUUUGUUCUUCUGCUUAUUCGAAAGCAGCAGGGGUUGUCAAGAAGCCAAAUCUACACUGAAUUAAAACCACGUUGCUUUGCUUCCAUAGAAGAGGUAAUACUUGGCUGUUGUAAAAAAGUCACACUUCAAUUGAGCAUCAGUUCAUCACUGAAACUACAAAGUGGAGCAGUCGCAGAGGUAAGGUGAUGGUAAAUGCAAUGUGACGUUUCUCCUGGGCCAUACUGCAGAGAAACCUUACCUUUGUGUGGUGCAGCUGAUGUUGUGUACUUCCCAGAAAAAACAAAAGAGCUGUAAGGUUGCAGCAGAACGCCAUGUCAAGGGAACCCAGAGUCUAAUUAAUCUCAGAGAAGUAUAAAGCCAUAACGAGUACCCACUUCAUUUUGUUUGAGUUGGUUUCUGUCCAGGUUAAUGUGAAACAGAGUGACCUGGUUGUAUGUAUGGGCCUGAAUGCGUUCCCAUGUUCUGCUAUAUAUCCCCACUACUAAGAUUCAGUCUAACCUCCAGCGUUUGGCAACCCUUUAUGGUCUUCUGCCAGUUCUUCAGUCUUCAGAGGAGGUUUGAAGCUUCUCGAUAACGAUUUCACAUAGCAGUUGUGGAUCCUAAUGGUAAAUAUUUUUGGUUGGCGUUCCCUGAGGCUGCCAGUUAGCAGCUAACAGUGACACUCGACUGGUUUCUGUGCAGUGGAACUGUGCAGUUAGAUUAAAUCUCACUGAGUUAUUGCAAGGAGUUACACUGUGGCUAAAUGUUUGUACCACUGCAACCUGUAGUUUUCAAUAUAAUUCUCUGCAGCCUGGCAAGUGCAUUAAUGGUUUUACAUAGUGCGAGGAACAAAAGGUUGCUUAGAUGCAGCGCAGCUGCUGAAGGUGGUUAUAAAAAGGCCCAUUUAACAUUCAUAGAUUCAGGGAAAGAAAACAGGAUAACCCUGCUGCUGGUUGUAGGGGUGAGUGUGAGCAGCUGCUUCAUGCGAUGCACAGCUGUGCCAGCGAUGUGCUGCAGAAGCGAUGAAUUAAGCUGUAAAGUGCAAGUCUCUGUGUACAACGUCCCGUUUUUGGAUAGCCCUGGAAAGUAAUGUAGAAGCUGUACAUGAGUGCCUCAAGUCUCUUUGCUUGCCUGUGCAGCAAUUAAUUUCAUACCUAUGCUAUGAAACCCCUGGAACAUCCCGUGUAGUGCGCAAACCAAGCGCUGUGCACAAACCUCCCAGCUAGACCAGAGGAAUUUAUAUCCCCUUCACUGACACACACAGACUGCUGGGUUGGUGAAAUGCUCUGAUGUGUUGGAUAAUAUGUGCAGGUCGUUGAACUUCAGUAGUACUGGAACAUGUGGAACAAACACUCUUGAAAUGAAGAAACUCCCAGCUUUGGGGCUGUGGCUGCAACCCUCCAAGGUGCUAGAUGUGUGAAAUGUGUUCUUCAGCACUGUACCUGAACAAAAAUCCUUCUGUCACUCCCUAGAAUUGCUAAAAAUGCUAGUUGUGUUUUAUAGAUAAAUGAUUGAUUGUGAGUUGUUGGCAUCAGCAACACUGCAGGCAUCACCGCCAUGCAGAGCUUUGUCUGAUUCCUGCCUGGCCAGCAAUGGUAAAUAGGUGCAGGGCUGGAGGAGCUCCAGGUGUCACUGUUAGGACAGCACCUGGGUAACUGGAGGGGCUUGUUUGUCACUGCUGAGGGAUUUCUGUGACCAAGACUCAACAGCUGCAUGCAGGGCAGCUCUGGCUGAAUCACACAGCUUCAGGUGUGGGAAGCAGCACUGCUUUAUGGAGGCUGCCUUUUUACUUUGGAGGUUUCUUAGCUGUUACAUAGUUGGUCACUGAUAACUUUGGCACAUUUUUGGUGGAGUAAUCUUGCCAGCAGCUUGAUACGUAGCUACAGAAAACAAAACAAAAGCAUCCUCGCUUUCCUCAUUCUUUCCCCUCAAAUGAAGUAAUUUGAAAAGUGCAGAGCUCUGUUAAAAAGCAGAAUCAUCUGGGAAAGGAGAUUUGUCCUGACAGAGAUGGCAGGGGUUUGCUAAGCAGCAAGGCUGUGUGACUCCAUCCUCGUGGAACUGCUCCAGCACUGACCAGACGCACUCCUUCCAGGUCAGGACAGUGGGAGCUUGAGCCUUACUCUGUCCAAACAGCUUUGGACCAGACUUUGCUGCUGUCUCCUGCUCUGUGGUCCCGUUAUCUAUGGCAGCCUGGUUGGAAUGGUGUUGCUCAGACCUCUUGGGCAAGUCACUGCAAGCCCUGGUUGCUGGGAGAUCCUGUCUGCUUAUCGCAACUCCAGCCAGUGCUAUGACUUGCAAGAUGCAGCAUGCUGAGGGCCCUCACUAGCACCUUGUCUCUCUAACUUUGCUAUGGGCUUGUCAUGGGCAGGCUCACUGUCACCCCUUUCCCCCUUCAAACCUGGUUUAAAGCCCCCUCAAUGAACUCAGACAUCUCCUGGGCUAGAAUUCUUUUCCCCUUAGACUCGGGUGGACUCCAUCCAAGCCAGGCUCCAAGUAAACCACCCCGUAGUCAGAAAAGCCAAAAUUCCUGCAGUGGCAUCAGGCUGUCAGCCAUGUAUUUAUCAAACAGACGUUUCUGGUCCUCUCAGUAUCCCUCCCUGCAACUGAAGGGAUUGAGAACAUCAUCUGUACUCCCGCUCCAUCCACUGCCCUUUGGUAUUUGUAAUGUUUGUCACAGUUGUUGGUUCUUGGAAGAAUGCAGUGUGUGCUGCUAAAUGGGGAUGGAAAAUGCAACAGCCGCAUCCAUGUAUAUUGAAAUGCAUUGUGUAGCACUACAGAAGUGUUUUCAUAAAGCUGACAUUCAGAAAAACAUUCAGAAAUACAUAUACUAUAGCAAUACUAGACAACAUCUGUUAAUAUUUUAUGCUUUUUUAAACUCACAGCCCUUGGAGAAGGAGAGAUUUGACAGUGAAAUAUUCAACUGAUUUCAGCAGCAGUGGGUCAGAUCCACAAAUCAGGCCACUGAUGUAAUUUGUCCCUAGAGCUUUAGCUGUCUAUGGAUGCUGGUAAGGUACUGGUGCCUGUUGUUGCCUGCCUUUGGCAGCAAGAGCACUCCCCGUUUGUAAGGAAGUAAUCUAAUUUUAUUCAUCUUCUUACUUCAUCUUAGACUUUAUUGCCAUCUGUCUUCAUGAGGUAGAUAGAUUGUUUGAGUGUAGCCUUGUGUACUGUCGUUGUCUUUUGUUUCCCUUACAGAGAGCUUGUGUAGAUGCUCACUGCUGUUACUGAAGUGGACUGGAGUUUUAAACCUGUUGCCUGUCCUCUUCAUCUCGUCGUAACACAACCUGUUCUCUUGGCAUGACAAAGUAGAAGCUUCCUCUGCCCAGCCUAGUGACAUGUCACCUGGUCACCAACCUUUCAUCUCCUCUUAUAAUAUCCAUGCUGAGUAGUCCUUACAGAUUGACUCUGUGAUAGACAGUCUGUGUGAUGUCUGAUUGGCAUAGAUGGACAGAGGUUGCUCCAAAAGUAAUGCCUCCUAUUUAUUUCCAUGGAAACCAACAGAUACAAAGAGCACAAUAUUAUUGUUUGAUAGAGCAUAUUCUCAGCUACAAAACACUGUUUUUCAACACAGAUACCACCAUUAACAAGCAUUUGCAAGCUGUAUUCAUAAAAAUCUGCCUGACCUAUAGGAACGUGGCUUGUCUUUCACAUUGCUGUCACCACUGCUGAAACACACCACGCACCACCUCAGUGUGUUCACAUCCUCUGUUCGGUCUCCAUUGAUGGAAUGUCAAUGGGUGCCAUUUUUUCUGCAUGGAGGAAUUUAGUCCCACCCCUCUACUCCAUUCAUACUUCCAUGUCAGAUGCCAUUCUUUCCGAUUGCCCCCCUACUGCCAUCUGUCAUAAACCAAAAAAAUAUAAUGAAAUAUUGAUGGGAAGGUUCAACUUCUACUGCCAUCCCAGCACCAUCCACCUCUGAUGUUGUGGGCCAACAUCAUAAAAUAGGAGGCAUUACUUUCAGAGCAGCCCUCAUAACCGAGAAUGUUUGAAUUAAGUGUGCAGCUGUCUUGAUAGCCUGACAGUAACUUCAGCAAAGGGUGGCAGUGCCUAGGCAGAAUGUGUCUGAAAGCAGGAUUCCCAGUCUGGGAGGUGGAAUUACUUCUCUCUUCGUAUCUUGAUUAUUUAUUUUUGCUGUAUCAACUCUAAUGCUGGGCUUUUGUGUUCACAUCAGCACUUGGUGGAACCAUAUUGGUGGCCCUUUUGAUGGAGGUGAGAGUUUGUCAUUGGUGUAAGGAGAUUUCAUUGUUGUAUCAGUUCUGUAGUUCUUUGACACUCCUAUGUAAAUAUGGUAAAUCCAAACCAAUCCAUGUAUUUGCAUCUCUCUGAGGAUCUGCUUUGAAAUCUGCAUUUCAACAGCCUUUGUAACCGUACCUCAACACAAUGCAGAUAAGAAAGUGCUUUCUGCCAUCCCUGUUAAAAUGCAAGACAGCUUUUCCAGCUGGACAUAACUGCGUACCUUCACUGGUCUCCCCACAAUUGGGAUUUUUCUUCCUUUCCAAGAGUGAGCAGUGCCAUCAUGCCACCAAGCAUGGCAGCAGCUGACACAGGGAUUAAACUGCUUCUUCCUUGCUCUCUGCCUGGAAGAUAAUUCUUGAAGGAAGUACAGUAGGAUUUAGGAAAAAUUUCUUCUCCAAGAGAGUGGUCAGACACUGGAAUGGGCUGCCCAGGGAGGUGGUGGAGUCACCGUCCCUGGAGGUGUUCAAGAAACGUGUAGAUGUUGUACUGAGGGCCAUGGUUUGGUGGGGAAGUACUGGUGGUAGGUGGACGGUUGGACUGGAUGGUCGUGGAGGUCUCUUCCAGCCUUGGUGGUUGUAUGAUUUUCAGCACAUGUACAUAUUUAAGGCAUUUUUUAAAGUGUGUUUCUAAACUUCAUAUUUAGAAACCUGCUUAUUCAAGCUUAUGCUUUGCUAAGUUCUAGGAAAUGAAAUUAACUUGAAGAGCAACUUACUGUAAUUUACUGUGAACAAGUUGUAUCUGUAACAGAAGCUUGCUGGCACAUGCUGCUUUAGGUUGGACAAGGGAUAUGAGUGUGUGUAUCUUUCUGCUAUGUGGUAAGACUCCACGUGAGGAUGGAGGUCCUGGGGCCUUAGAGGAAGACUGAUGUCUUGCCUGAGGAGGAAAUUCAAGGUGUGCGGUCAUGGUUGAUGUAAAAGCCAUUCUGCUCACCCUGCCCUUUGGGCAGUCUGCCCUUCCCAUCCUGCAUAGGUCAAUCCUUUAGGUCCAUCUCAUACGCUGUGGACCUUGCGUUAAAGGGGAGAAUGCACUGCUGGAGGUGUGCCAGUUUCUGAUUCCAAAUGUUGGUGCAUCUUCUCAGCUUCUUUCAUGCUUUCUCUGGCGAUUGCUUCCGUGAAUACAAAAUCUGACAAAUAAUUGCAUUUUGAAGGGCAUGCUUAAUGGAGGUCCAUAAAAAUGAUUUACAGACAACUGCAAACUGAACUAUUACACUAAAGGAUAAAAAGCUUCCUUAAUGAGCUGUACAAGACAGUUAUUGAUGUAUUUAUGAAAACAUUCCCCAGUACAUGCAACCAGGGGAAUUCAAAGAUAAAUAUUUAAAGAUUGUCUGACAGUUUUUGAAUGUAGCAAAACUCGAGUUCCUCUGGUUCCUCUGUAGGGCAGUAAAUGUCUUGAAACAAAAGUAUGUGUGAUUUGUAACAGAAGAGAACAAAACCUGUCUUAAAACUAGAUGUCUUUCUAUGUGACAAUGCUUUGUUCAACCUAAGAGAUAAAGCAAGGAGAAAAUAGGCAUGGGAAGCUUAAGAUAUUAAUAAGGUAAGCCAACAUUUUUUUUUUCUAUCUAGGUAAUUUAUUAGAAUGGUGUCAAAGAAAUGUACUUAAGAUGAUGAAAUGUAACAACAGUUUCGCGUUUGAUUGAGUUUCCUUUCAUCCCAUCAUUGCUGUACACAGUCAGGUUAUUCAAGUGUGAUCUUUAAGUGUUCACAUUGUGAUUUAUAAUCUUGAUCUUCGCACCCCAGGGAGAGAAAAAUUGGUCUGUUGUUAUGAAUCUGAUUAAUAUAUAGAACAAUGUGUGCCCUUUUGGUAUUUAUUACACACAUGUGCUUUUAGUUUGGAUUAUCUCAUUGUUACUUGCACUUUGCAGGCAUACUGCAUUACUCUCUGAGUAACAAACUGUAGGAGCAUUCUAAGUAUUGGGGCUGACACUUGGUGUGGCAUCACCUUGUCAUUGGUGCACUUUAUAUCCUUGACUGGCUUAAUAAUUGAUAAUUUUUAAAUAAUAUGGUUUUCUUUAGGACCACAGCUGCUGUGUCACGUAACUCCUCCUGCCAUACAGAACGAAGACCUGGCUCAUGCUAUUAAAUAAGCUCUAGAGUCUUUUUUAGACUUCUUCCACCACAUUGUUUCUUGGGCUACAGACUGAGACUGGGCUAUGGAGCCUCUUCCUUUGAAGGUUGGUAGAAGGAGUGAAUGAGGGACAGGGGCUGUGCUAGCCAGCCUGUGAAAGGUGCUGGCAGCCGCCCUGAGUGUUGCUCAUGGGUAGAAGAGCUGCAUUAGCAGCCAGUGCUGAAGGUUAAUAGAAGAGUUUUAGUCUUGGGGGAUCUCUUCUUCAGCACCAAGAAGGGUUGUGAUGAAGCUGAAUUUCCCCCUGGGUGACGAUGCUGGUCCCAUUUUCACUUACAAGAACAUGGAAUAUAUUCAUCAACAUUCAUUAACUUCAUGGAUCUCAAGGAAGCACACAUAACCUCCACUAAGACUUCUGAGUUGUAAGUGUAGUAUGGGGUAGUAUUUAAGCUUUUCUAGCUUUCUGCUGGGAUAUAAGGGUUUGGGUUUCUUUCUUUGUUUUCCUUGAUGUCAUUUGAUUGCUUCAAAUUUUACUUUUUUGGCUUAUUUUUCCUGUUUCAUUUCCCCUGUAAGGACGCAGCAGUUCACAUGCACCAAAGUCUCUGUAAUAGUGUCCUUACAAUGAAAGGGGAUUUGUGUACUAAGGAUUGUAUCAGUGAAAAACUAGUGUUGGGUUUUUGCUAUGUGGGAAUGUAAGGCAAGGAGAGCAGAAAAGGAAUAGCCAAUACUUUGAUAGUUAAGGAAGCACAAGGGUACACAUACAAGUCCUGAGCCUUGGAAAGGUUCUCAGUCCAGCUCUGUAUAUCUGACUCAGUAUGGAACAGCCUGUGUUAAUUUAACUUAAAUCUCUCCUGCACCAAAUUGUAGGUGGGAAGUCUGUUGAUCAAAGCCAGACUUUUAAAGCAGGUUUCCUGUAGUAGUGUGUAAAAUCAGUCUUUGUACAAGAGUAGUUCUGUCACCUGCCUUGCAAGCAAAUUACAUUAUGCAAUUUAGAGCCCAAGUAUGGCUUAACUUCAGUGGAUAAAUCUCAUGCCUGUUGUGAAAGCAUUCAUGUCCUUGGGGCCUGUAUUUGAUUUCUCAAUAUGUAGGAACAAUAGAAAUUUGAAGAUUUUGAUUGAAAUGCAACCCAUGGAUUAUGCACAUAACCAUUUGCAGCCUUUACUUAUGCGCCUGUUGUGAAGACGCAUCCACACUAAGGAACUGCAGCUCAGCCUCUUUGCUUGGCUGCAGUGCCUUUUGGUGUAAGCUAGUGGAGAUGUUUUGCCUCUAUCAGAAGAACUGAAGCACUGUUCUUCCAGGGAGGCUGGCAGCAACAAAGAAAGAAGGAUGCCCUGAAUGGCUGUUGGAGGCUGUCAGACUGUUAUAUCUCUUGUAUUUACUGCUUUACUUGUUGCCUUUGGAAGAUUAUUGCUGUCAGUGCUUGAAGGACCCUGCUCCACAGUCACCUAGAUGAUCUCACCUUCUAUUCUGUAUUGUUUUCAGAAAAUACAAUGGUUAGCAUGUUAAUGGUUAACAUACAGUUUUAGCAGCUUCAGUUGCAUUAUAACUCAAAAAUUCUGUCAAGAAGAACUUAGAUUGAGCUUCAGAUUCUGACAGUGUCCUGAAGACAACCUUACUGGCUUCUCCCAGGUGACUUGCGUUUCCAUUCUGCAGGCUGGAGCAAUGUGAUGCUGAGGUGAUCCAGAAUUCCUGACUCUGUGCAGAUCAGCCCUGUCCCUGAGCAACCACCAGGCAGGUACGGUUUAGAUGAGGGUACAGAAGCAUGGAAACCCCUCAGCUUUAUGGGUGCCUCAGUCACCUAGAGCAGAUUGUCUGUGAGAUGAGAGUGCACAGAGACCACAGUUGGAUAUUGUACACCUCUGGAGUAGUUACCUUGGCAACUAUCAUACUGUGUGCGGUUUGGUUGCGAGGAACUGGCACAGCAGAGAAGUGUGACAUGUGAGACAUAAUCCUCUGUGGAUUUCCGAAGAUGGCAAGCAGGUGAUGGCGUGAGCAUUUCUGCUGUUGGCAGCGUAAUGGCCACGAGCUCAUUGCUGUAGCAGCCCUACUCUCACAAUUUAAAUUCCUCAUGUUAACAAAAAUGAAGAGCUGUGCAGUGGUACAUGUUAUCAGCACUUUUUCUGGAGGAGUUCCUUGAGAAUGAAGGUGAAUAAAACCAUCCUGCUUACCUCACCACCUCCCACUCGUUUUGCCUAAAACGCCUCAUUGAAAUUUCUUAGCAGAGCAGGGCUGUGCAGCUCCUGGAGGAUCCUCUUAGAUCUUGGUUGGUGGGAGGUGGAUUUGCCUGGGCUGCUGACUUCUUUUUCUUCAAAGACCUCGGUAAGCUGUGUGAGUUCCCAGGGCACCCAUCCCAUCCCCCUCCCAGCCCAGGGGAGCCCACAUGGCUCAGAAUAAUGAAGGCCCUUACUGAGGGUGUCAGGGUUCACGAUUCCUCUCCUCUAGUUCUUGUGAUGAUUCUAUAAGGCGCCAGUAGGGCUUGUUAACAGAGCUGAUCAAUGAGACUUGUGUGCAAGGAUCGCUAAGAUCAAUUCUGCAAUGAAUCAAAGAGUCCUUCCAGUAUUGACUUUCUUUUUAAACAGCAAAAACUGGAAGAAAAAAAAAUAUAAGAGUAUUCACCACUAUUGGUGUGUGUGGCUGAGCCGUCCCUGAAGGGCAGCAGUCUGCAUGCAGCUGUGCCAGGGGUUCCAGGUGGCACAGACCUCAGAGACCCCCGAGUGAGGAAGCAGAGAUGGGGUUGCUCAUGGUGCUGUAUUUUGGCCCAUGCUCAGUGCGUCACUGUUGUUUGAAUCUUAAAAAGAUUGCCCCCUCCUCGUUCCAUUUUAGUUUCCUGGUCGUAGCUUUUGUCUUUCCAUAGCAAAUGUGGUUCCUCAAGCAUUGCAGAGUACAGGCGCUUUUACUUGACUUUGAAAUAUUUUAAGCCUGAUUCUCUUUCACUUAGCUUUCACUUCUAGAAAUGAAAAAUAUCAGAAUAGAUGGAGUUGCUCAUUUUCUGUGUACUUCAGUGGGAACUCUGUCAGGUCAAGUCUAGCACAGACAAGAGGCCCCUCACCGCUGGGUAGGAAGAGACAGCUUGGUAGUCUGCAUUCCAAGUCAAGGUGCAUUUCCAGGAGAGGUGGGAAGGGGGGUGGCAAAGCAAGUUUCACAGAACUCUCUUAGUUCUCCUUGGUGGAGUAAUCCCUGUUAAAAAGCUGACUGAUCAGUGACCAUAAGGAGAUAUACCACUGUCUUGUACAGGCUUACUGUACUUGGAAGUGCAAUCAGUGUUUUAAUGACUGUUCCCUGCUGCAGUAUAUUUAACUGCAUCGAUUGAUACCUUAAAACUGUGGCUGUUCAUUAGGCUUUAAAAAUUUUCCUUCUUUAUGUGUUGUAUGUGGGAGUGUAAGCCAUCGGCUCAUGUAAAAUGUAAAGCUUUCUUUUGGGAUACCCACUCAUUUAAAAAUAUAUAUAUAUAUAUGAAAAAAAGAUCAGGUGGGUUCAUUCAUCAAGGUGUGAAUGCUUAAGACCAUUUUACUAACGUGAAACCAAAAUCUGGUGAUUUUAGGGGAAUCACAGAAUCACCAAGGUUGGAAAAGACCUCCAAGAUCUUCCAGUCCAACCAUCCACCUGCCACCAAUAUUCCCCACUGAGCCAUAUCCCUCAGUACAACACCUAAACAUUUCUUGAACACCUGCAGGGUCGGUGACUCCACCACGUCCCUGCGCAGCCCAUUCCAAUGCCUGACUACUCUCCUGGAGAAGUGUUUCCUAAUGUCCAACCUGCAUUGGAGUUAACAUUCUGUUGUGUUUUAGUGAGUAGAGCACAGUGUAGGGUGGGUUUCUUGUACAAGUGCAUCUAUUCAUUCAGCAGCAAUACAAACCCAUGUCAGUAUGGUUUUCAGCACACCCAUGGGUGUGGAUGGGGUUGCUGGUGCUCUCAGGUCUGCUGCUUCCUGCUGUAACGAGCAGCCUGAAAGCUGCAGCUUGCUGUGUGUGUUCACACAGCCUGUCAGUCUGCUGCUGCCAUUUGAUUUAGGAUGAUGAAAGCAGCAGCAAAAUCCAGCUACAAGUGAAGUGAGUUGUGUUGGAUGGAUUUGUAACUCCUGGUGACCUGAGGAAGGAGAGACGAUGCCGCUGGAUGUCACCUGGCAGUGGGCAGACACCUCAGCCCUGGCUGUAAGUACGGGAGAGUUUUGCAGCUGCAGUCUUCCUUUUCAGCUUUGUUCUCACAGCUCUGGGCCUUCUGGUCGGAUCCAUGCAGGGCUGCCGUGCCGUGUUUCAGUCAGUGCCCUCCCACAGGCUGGGAGCUCUGUACAAUUUGCCCUUUUGAAACAUGAUCCUUUGUUCCUACUGAACUCGGGGCCGCUAUCCCAGGAACCUCGUUCCAUUUUCCAGCUGUCUGAAAUUGGGCUUUCUGCUGCAGAGGAUUUUCUUGCCAUAUCAGAGAUUCCCUCUCCCUCCAGGCUUUUUAUUGCUAAAACAGUAGGCUAUGAAUGCUGCAUCAUGGUGCAUACAGGUGUGUGUAUCAGUGUUUGUGCCAGCAGACUGCAGGCAUUAUCUUAUGCUGUGCAUUUGUGAAAGUGCUGUGAAUGUUCUGUGGGUUAUAACACUCAAUUGCACGGUGCAUCUUCCCAAAUUCCCACAAAGAACAGCAGAACUGACAGCAAGAGAUGCACUAACAAAAUCACACGGAGCUCUUGCCAAGCAGAGGGCAGUUUUGUUCCUAGGCACUGAAGGACGACGAUGACCAACAACAUGCUUGCUCCUAUAUUAAUAGGUUUUAUUUCACCAUAAAUCUUACCGCACACCCUGCAGCUUGUUGUGCCUUUGCCACACUAAACUGUCCUGCAGGACGUUGCUCACAUCUUGCUCACGUGCUGUCCUUUCUGAUCAACCUGCCAGGCGAUGGAGCAGGAUAGGGACGUCAGGGCAGAACUGACCAGGAGGUACGGACUGCUUCAGCCAGGAGGAACAACACUGACUCCUGUGUUUUAUCUGGCUGCUGGCUGUGGGAAUCCUGCCAACCAGCUGGUGAAAAGGGUAUAAAAUCUGACUUUGUGUAAUAUUACAUGUUUCUAUGAUCCUUGCUUUUAGCAAAUAGUUCAUUCCUAACCACUGUUGGGAAGCAGGCAGACUGACAGUGCUGUGAGUGCACGUGGGCUCUGCUCUACAGACACAGCCCAUGUUUCCAGGGUGGUACUCCAUCUCCCUUCCAUGCUUUGGUACUUAGAAAGGAUUAACUUUGCCCUCAGUGCCUUUACACAAACAGCACUAAAAUAUUUGAAGGAAUGUGAUUUUCUCUGGGGCUGGAUGGAAUUAAAGCAUUGUACUUGUCGUGAUUUAAGGUUGUUUCUGAUGAUGGAGGCUGGCUGAGGUUUCUCACUUCUGCUGUCCUCUCUUGCAUGCCUUGUUUCCUACAGUCUGUGUAACAAGCUUUCCCAGGGGAAAUCUCCCAGCAACAGCAUACGCUGAUGAUGCUGUGACGCCUGGCUGUCGGAGUUGUUGCACACAAAUAGGACUGACAAGUGAAACAGAAAAUGUGAGACUAUCUGAUGUUCCAGGGAGGAUGGCUGAAGCACGGCCACUGCAGGAACGCGGCUCAGUUAAACUUGCUUCUCCCAAAGCAAAGAUCAUUAGGUUAAAAAACAACUGGUCUUUUGACAGGCCUGCUUUCCAAAUGAGACGGCACCAACACCAGCUUUCAGUUUUAAGAAGCUGCCAUUAUUUAUCCCUUUAAAUCACUGAUUUUAUUAGUUCUGCUGGCAGCUUUCUUAGCUGAAUCUGCAUUUUGUGUAAUUUGUUGUAGUUCACUUGUGCGGGCAGGUUACUAUUUUCUUUGUGCUUGUAACUGUGAUUACAGUGUUCAGACUUUCCAACCCUAGCACUGUACCCAGGGUAGGCAGUGUCACCUGUUGAGGUUGCCCAAGAGCUCCCACUAUAAAUCCUAAUUUCUAAUACAUCCAUGUAUCUCUACAGCAGUCCCUGUGCAGACUUGUUGCUGGCUCACGCCUGCCAGUACUUCACAGAGAUGCAGAUGCCAUUGGUGGACUUUUCACUGCUGGACAGAAGGCAUUUGAGUGAUUACUUGUUGUGAAGUACCUUCUGCAGAGACUGCCUGCAGUUUUGGAAGGCAGCUGGAUAGCAUCAUGCAUUAGUAAUCUAAUGACCUUUACCCCUCGGCACCAUUUCCUCACAUCUUGAACAGCUUGGCAAUACUAGGAAAGCAUCCCAUGGUUCAGUACAGUUGUGUAAUAGAAGUUCUUCUCAUUACAUUUCACUCAUUGACUGAUUUUAUCUCAAGAGUAAGCACAGCAGCUAGAAAUCACAGGAAGCCUUGGAAGAGAGUUGGAUUAAUACCUGAAGGCAGUUUCCUCUGGAAGUGAGCUUUCCUUCGAGGCAUGGAGCAGCACUGCUGCUGUGGCUGCUGCACUGGGGCUGCAGGAAGUACCUCUGUGCAGACAAAACUCAUUCUGGGAACAUGCAAAGAACACAGAGUUUGGACCCAAUUACUCACUCUGCCAUCUUUUUUUAUCCUCAAGGAUGGGGGGGAAUCCUUUAUCAGUGCAUAGUAAUCGUCUUGAUGUCCAAUGAAAAGAGCAAUGACAAACAUUUCCUUGCCAGACAAUGAGUACUGCAGGCAGACAGCUGGGUUACUUUCCACCUUUGCACGAGCACAUCUGCUCAACGAGCACGGCGUGCAUUCGGAGAUACCCGAGCACGCAGGGCUGACAUUUGCUUUUCAGAAGCGCCCCCCUGACAGGCACUUGAAUGCUCAGACACCCAUGUGAAAGGUACACAGGACAUCAGUGGGACGAGCUGCGUAACUCACACCACUGACACGUCUCUUUUCACUUGCAGUAUUUAUAGCUGGCAGUGAUUUCCCAUUGCGCACUUUUGCUUUAGGAAGGACUUCUAAAAUAUCAAGAGUUUGUUCCAUACAGACCUUUUCCUUUGGGUACAUGAAGGAGGCUGAUGUCAACGGCAGCUCUCGGACGUGGCCCUGAAUGCACAGCAGUACGAGCCAUUCUGCUUGUGCAUGUGGUCAGCUUUUGCUUCAGUCUUCUUGUGCUUCUGCUUGUGCUUCAGUCAGCAUGACUUUCAGAGCUCUUCAUUUUAUUUUAUGGCUAAUUUCACGAAUUCAUUAGGGGCAUUGUAGUGGCAGUGCUCAGUCACAGCCUGAAACAGUGAUGGAGCACCUGGUGGGAAGGCAGGGCCAACCCAGGGGAGUUCAGGUGCACGUAGUGCUGCUGAGUGACUAGAAGGGAUGGAGUCAGGAUCCACCCCUUCCCAGCCCUCAUUUAAGGGUUGGCAGUGGAGCUGAGGGUAUCUUUUGCUGGAGAUUCCUGCUUACCUGCAGCCUUCUAAGAGUAAGCAGUUCUUUUCCUUAAUUUUUGCAUCUGUGGCUGUUGCAUUUGGGCUCAUUCUCAUUUGGAGUAGCUAAAGACUUUGACGCCCUGCUAUUAUCCUAUUAUAGCGUUGCAGGCAUUAAUAAUAGUUAAGGAGAUUUAAAUCCCUUAUGACUGUAACACUGGGCAGGCUGCAGGGGUGUGCAGAUGUCAUCUCCAUGUUCUUCUGGAGGAAUUUUGGAUGCUCAGUAGCAGUGAUGCCAGUGUUGGGGCAUGCACCCAGAGCACCCCUGUCUGGAGGAAAUGUAGUUCCCCACAUCUUGCAACGCACAGAGCUGUGAGAACACCAGAAUGCCUGAGCACUCAUCUGCUGCCCAGCUCUUGGCUGCUGCUAGAUGCAGCUCGUGACUUUGAAACCAGUUGUUUGCAAAAGAGCUCUGUGCCAUGCCCUGCAGGGCGAGCAGGGCCUCGUGCUGCAGCUGCUGACUAAUGCAUGACACCUCUGCUGUGAGGCAGUUGUGUUCACUCACCGAGGUCAGGGUGACUCAAAGCAGCACAUGUUCCAUGUCGAUGCCCAGAGGCAGCUGCUGUUUUACAUCAUGACAAUGUCAAUUAUCACCUACAACACUCCUGUAAGGAGUAAAAUGGCAUUGACAAAAGAUGCAAUUAUUUGGCUGUUUGCUUUCUCAGUCCUCUGCUAAUGUCAGUGUCUGGCUGUCUCUCUGAUGAUGCCUUUAAACCACAUGUGUGACAGCUACACUGCGUUGAAAAAACACAGCUUUCCCCACCUGUGUGUGCAUGAGGAGAUGUGCUGUUGCAGAGAUGCCCUGAUCUUUCUGAGCACCACUGUAAUGCUGCUGGAGAAGCUCAAGGGGGGAUUGUGUCCUUUCCAGUGGAGGCUGGAGGUGCAAUAUUGAUCUCAGCCCCCAUCUCUCGGAUAGCUGGAGUGUCAAGCACUGGGUAGAAUUGCUGUAAGUGUGCUGGCUCUUGCUGUGCUCCUGGCCGUUCCUCUGCUUCAUGUCUAUGUGCUUGGGCCUUUGGAGCUGGCUGCUGCACCAGCCCAGCUCUCGGAGGUGUCCCCCAGCAGCUGCUGCCUGGGGUUGCUUGGGCUGCUCGCAGGAGCUGAGGGCACAGCCCAGCCCGCUGUGCUGGCAGAGGCUGAUGGUCUGCCCAGAGCAAGUUUUUCUCCUCCACCACAGUCAUCUGACCUGUCCUUAGAAGGGCAUCUGCUUUUGGGGGGCAAGGCCAACAAAAAACAACAGCAACAAAAAGCUUUUGUGAUUCGUCUCUUAUUUAGAGCAUGUGCUAAUGAUGAAUUUGGGUGCAUCCCAUCUUGUCUCUAGGAACAGCUGGAAUAACUUCUGUGUUUUUGCACUGGAAACAACAAUGUUGCCGAAUCAUAGCUGUUCUUUGUGAAUCUCUCCAUUUCUUUAAGUUGUCAAUUUAUGGAAAAGUGGAAGAAUCUGGUAGUGAAACUGAAACUUCUUGUUUGAUCAUUUUGGUACCAGCAGAUGUGGGGAAUUCAUUCCAGGACAAGUUUAUUGCCUACGUUCAUGUUCUGACAUUGCCAAAAUGAGCAGAAAUAAAAGCCUUCCCCACCCCCCUCAGGUUUUUAAAUAUAAUGGGAAAUGUUUUGUUCUUUGGAGUUGUGGCAGAGUCUGCACGAUUUAACCUUGCAGACUUAUCCUGUUCAACCACAGGUCGUGUGCUGCUGUCCCAGCAGCUGGGGCUGGAUCCAUGCAGUCAGUCUGCACACGACGUGGAGGUUUGCUGAUGCUGCACAGUUGGGUGCAGGCAGUCAUCUGCAGAGCCCUCACGCCUUUGUAUCAUCCAGCCUGAUACUCAUAGCGCUGUUUUACUAAGCCCAAAGCCUUUACUGGUUACACAUGCUGUGUGUCAUUCCUUCCAUUGGCACGUGCUCCGUUCGGCAUUCUCUCAUUCACGUACGACACAGGGAAGGGAUUGUAUACUCCACUGUGAUACCACUUACAUCUCCUCCUUUGUUUCUAGGCAUGUAAUUACAUAUGGAUUUGGACCUUAACAAACCAUGGGUUGCUUUAGGUUACACUUGCUCCUGCCUCAGCCUACCUACGUGUUUUCAUUUAGAUUUUGGCAAGACCUUUGUCUGGCCAGCUGGCUUUUGUGCUCGAGACCAUCCUGUCUUUUGUCUUGAGUUACUGUGAACCCUUCCUUCUUCCCAACUGCAGCCCUUACUGCACUUGCAGUAACAGGGAUGAAUUUAUCAAAUGUUUAUGUAUUCAUACAAUUAAAACGCAGAUAUUGGUUUGUUACUUUGAUCUCUUGGCUUCCCUUACCAGAAUGUAGGCAUGUAGGCACAAAUACAGGGUGUGGAGGAUCUGUUGCAAAGGGCAAUUUUGAUCUGGCCGUAGCAGCGUGAGCCAUCUGUUGAUUGGCCUUUGUCAGCCAAAUUGUGCUACUAGUUGGCAUAGUGAAUAUGUAUGCAGCACUCUGCAGGACAAAACUCAUAAAUUCAGAUUGCCUUGCAUGAACUUAUAUAUGCAGUUCAGCUCCACAAAGAGAAAGAAAAAGAAAAAAACUGCAUACAUUGCUUAUGCAACAAAAUGUUGCUUAUUUAUAGUGGCAUUUACAAGGUGCAGGGAAAGCUGAUAUCCUCCUCAAUGAUGAGGGCUGAAAACCUAAUUAAAAUGUGUUAUAACAUCAAGUGAUGCAUUUCUGCCCCCACUGCUCCUUUUUAACACAGGUAAUUGGCUGCAGAAGCAAUCUCUGUUCUUGUAAUACAGAACAGCAAAAUGCUGUGUAAACCGUGGUAAGAGGAGUGUAAGAUAGCACUUGGUAGCAAACCCCAUUAUGGAUCUUGGGACGGUUUUGGAUGCUGUGCCAAGGCAGAAGCCACCUUCAACCAAUGUGGCAGAAGAAGGAGACAGCAGUAUUUCUUAAAGCCAAAAGCAACAGUGGCUCUGAGCAAGCCGUUGGCCACGUCACCAUGUGCAGUGAGAUUACCUUUCCUUUCACCUUGGAAUCAGCUACAGCUCUGCUCAUUUUGUCAUCUGGUGAGUUCACAUGGACAGUGAAUUUACAUGAAGCAAAAGCAAAAUGGUUUUAAGUUGAAGGAGGGAAGAUUUAGGUUGGAUGUCAGGGGGAAGUUCUUUACUAUGGGAGUGGUGAGGUGCUGGAACAGCUGCCCAGACAGGCUGUGGAUGUCCUCCCCUGGAGGUGUUGAAGGGGCCCUGGGCAGCCUGGUGCGGUAUUAAAUGUGGAGGUUGGUGGCCCUGCCUGUGGCAGGGUGUUGGAGCUUCAUGAUCCUUGAGGUCCCUUCCAACCCAAGCUGCUCUAUGGUUCUAUGAAAUGUAGGGUGGAAGGAACAUAAUGUUCAAGGGUGUUUAUUGCUGGUAUGAGAAGGUGGAACUCUUGCUUUAAUACCUGUUAGUUGUGUUAGUGUAAUGGGAGGAGCACAAGUACAAACUACAGGAUUAUUCUUUUUAAAGGAAGCUCAGCUAUUUCAUUCGUGUUUUUAAGUGGGUCAGUGAAGGCACGGAUGUUUGAUCAGAGGUGAUGGAUGAGUUACACAGGAACACACUCUCCAGCCUUGUUUUCCAAAGCAGUGCCAGAUGUGAAUCAGAGGAACUGACCCCAGAGAUACAGUUCCUGGGGUGCUGUGUUGCUGCUGUGCCAUGAAGAAGGAAGAGAUUCACAAAGGAGUGUUUCUGAGACGCAGUGGCUGCACAGUACAAACCCAUGUGCUGGAGCUGCAGCCACGUCAUCAUCUGCUCUCCUCUGCUGGUGUUCUGAAGUCCAACACCGAUAGUUUCAGAGGACCACAGCAGGGAACACCUCCCUCCAGAAGUCCAAUGGAAGCUUAUGCCUGUGAACUUACUGAGCUGUGUGCCUGGGGAGCGGCAGAAGAUACCCACAUUCAUUGACUUCCUGCCAGCGGUGUCCUUCAGUGUCGAUUCACACACUGUGCUUUGGGCUGCCUAUGGCACUGCCAGGCGCUGUGCAGGGGCUGCCCGGUGCUGAAGGGACAGCUGUUGGUUUUCUUCCCUGCCGUCUGUUGGGGUAUAUCGGGAUUUCCUCCCAGUGCAGCAACACCAAUUCACAGAGAGCCAAUGGAAACGUGACGGUUGGGAUGUGGUUCUUCAAAAAGGAGCGUUGUGGUUUAUCGUUGUUUGUUUUCUUCAUUAACAUCCUCAAAAUGGCAACAAAUAUCCAGGAGUUGUAUUUUGUUCUGCUGAACUAAGUGCAGUUAUGCUACCUGACUUAAACUGUGUUUUCUGCUUAAAUGGCUUUACGUUCUAACUGGUCAAAUAGAGCGAACGGGCUGUUGGAUAGUGCAGCUUAUCCUUCUGCUUUGACUUAUUUGCUGCUCUUCUGCAGUACGUAGCAAACCUUACAAAUAAUUCUGCAACUGUCCAACAUCAAAUUUCUACAGACAAAUGUUGGUGUGCAGCCCUUGCCUUUUGGUAUGUAAGCUUGGGCAGGGUCACUAAGGAGUACCUACAAUCCCAACGCAGGCAGACCUGUUAAAAGGCAAAAACUGCUAUGAUUCCUUCUGCCUCUGUCAAAACCAGAGCUCCACGUUACACAAAUGCAAGUGACAAAAGCAUGGGGAGAAAUACAGAGUGCAGUUCUGUGCUCUGGUGCAGAUGGAAGUGGUUACAGUUUGCAAGUCACACUGACUGGUGUGAAGCUCGAGUAAUACUCCACCAUUGGAUUAAUCCUAUUUGUUCUAGCAUAAUGGUUGUAAAAAUCAGAUUUAGACAAGAGUACAAGUAAUGCGAGAUUAGCAGGCUUCUCACUCAGCACGGGAAGGACAAGCUGUUGGCACUGAGUACACAGAGAGCAGCAGCACCCCUGCAGUCUCCAGCAGACACGUGCUUCUGCAGAGGGGCGCACUGAGCUUCCCUUGGCUGUGCUGGGGCUCCCAGCUCUGCAAUGGGAACCCAGCACCUCCCUGUGGAUGAGAAUCCAGAGCUGGACAGCCAUGAACAAUGGUCAAACUAAUGUUAGAACAGGUGUUUCUACUUCCUUGUGUGACACAAACUGUAAAUUCAGUCCAGGAUUUCACUGUAAGCCCCUCCUGCCCACCCCCCUACCCCUCCCCCAAAAAACCACAACAACAGAAAAGAUACGUUUCCAAAUCAUUUAUUUCCUGAAGUAUCAGACUACCCAUCCCCAUCAUUUUACACAACACAAGAUAAGGAUACGAACAAAGUGAAUUUAUUUACAAAGCUAUUUGACAACUGCACUAUGCUAUACUAAUACAUUUUAGCGUUAACUAACUCUCUAUGCUAUCUACUCCGUUGUUUGCUGGCUCAGUCUCUGCAUUCAGUCUCUGCAUGGCAGUUCACACGGGCGCAGUCAUCUGGGCUCUCCUCUUCCGUCUGUUUCCUCCGUGGCUGUUCCGGAGCAGCUGAGCAUCGUCUCCUUGAAGGUCGGAUGACAGGAGAAGGCUGAGCAAAACAAAUGCAAAAGAGAAGAGUUGGUUGCCACCAGGUCAACAGAGACAAUCACAAAGAGAAGGGAAGAAAGACUUUGAACUGCAAAAGAGAAAGCUGUGUAUGAACAGGUCUGUCGUUUGGUUCCGACCUCCAACUCCGGCUAAAGCAUUUUGAAACUGUCAGAGCCCCACUGGUGGUUACACCCAGGAAGCGGCCUGUGCAAGAAACGCAGAUGCAGAACAUUUCCCGUCAUCUUCAGCUCCUCCACUGCCCUGCCUUAUCUCAUGGGCACACCCCUCCCAGCCAGGAACGUUCUGUGUGCUGGGCCACGAGCACAGACACUGACAUACCUCCCUCGGCGCAGAAGGCGCGUCCUCUUCUCCCCGACGAUCUCCCAGCAGGUCACGCUUCCAAGAGCCGCUGUUCUUCUGCCGGCGCUGGGGCAGCACCGGGCGCUGAUCCUGCUUCCUCCUGGAGGAGGGGGUCAAGUGAACUGCAAGGACUCCUCUGCAGCAAAGACAAAAGAAGGUUCUGUUACUGCUAGCCACCAUCUAUCAACUCCCUUGCAGUUCACGUACUGUCAAGACAAGAACUGCCUUGCCGUCCGCUAUUUCCCUAUCCACUGCCAUCAGCCCCCCACAGCCCCAGGGCUGCCCUCCCCCUGCCCCUCGCACAGCCCGCACUGGGCUGCCAGCCCAUCACCUGCAGCUGCCCUGGUGGGGCCGCAGC
ensembl:lncRNA